AACGAACGUUAGCGGCGCGCCUAACACAUGCAAGUCGCGCGAGAAAGGGCUUCGGCCCCAGUAAAGCGGCGCACGGUGAGUAACACGUAGGUCAUCUUCCCUCGAGUGGUGGAUAACUCUCCGAAAGGAGAGCUAAUACAGCAUAAGACCACGACUUCGCCGAAGUUGUGGCCAAAGCAGACCUCUUCAUGAAAGUUUGCGCUUGAGGAUGAGCCUGCGGCCCACAGCUAGUUGGUAGGUAAUGCCUACCAAGGCUAAGACGGGUAGCUGGUCUGAGGAGGAU
rnacentral:rRNA from 1 species